rnacentral:rRNA from 1 species
CUACGGGCGGCACCAGUGGGGAAUAUUGCACAAUGGACGAAAGUCUGAUGCAGCAACGCCGCGUGGAGGAUGACACAUUUCGGUGCGUAAACUCCUUUUAUAUAGGAAGAUAAUGACGGUACUAUAUGAAUAAGCACCGGCUAACUCCGUGCCAGCAGCCGCGGUAAUACGGAGGGUGCAAGCGUUACUCGGAAUCACUGGGCGUAAAGAGCGUGUAGGCGGGUUAAUAAGUUGGAAGUGAAAUCCUAUGGCUCAACCAUAGAACUGCUUCCAAAACUGUUAACCUAGAAUAUGGGAGAGGUAGAUGGAAUUUCUGGUGUAGGGGUAAAAUCCGUAGAGAUCAGAAGGAAUACCGAUUGCGAAGGCGAUCUACUGGAACAUUAUUGACGCUGAGACGCGAAAGCGUGGGGAGCAAACAGGAUUAGAUACCCUAGUAGUC